CCCUGCCGACGGAUCGCCACCUUGACGUGGUGAUAGGGUUCACGGACGCGAUGACCCUCUCGGUCCGCCCGGCACUUCGGUGUCGUGUGGGGCGGGGAGCGAGCGGCUGUGCUAAGAGCAAG
rnacentral:ribozyme from 1 species